UAAGAUCGCGCCACCACAGGUGCCUCAUGGCGUGCUUUGGCACGCGGAGGUGAAACGAGAAGCAGGUGAAUGGAAUCCCCAUCAAUCCUGCACUGCACCCGCAACGGUAAUCAGAGAUAUGGAGAUGCACGCUCUGGCCCACGGCCAUGGCCGCCACUGCGAAAGCGGGAAGGCGCAUCGACAUGCCACCCUCAGGUGGGCUCUGUAAGUCCGGAGACCGGCCUGGUGUGUACAAGGCGC
rnacentral:ncRNA from 2 species